CCCACUGCUCUCUUUAAUGGUUCAGGGAUGUUUUAGAAUCUAUGUUUAUGGUUUGUGUAGGUCCAGGUAAAUGCUCUGUGGUCUAGUUUGUAUAUGCAGUGUUUUUGCGUAGGUCCAGGUAAAUGCUCUGUGGUCUAGUUUGUAUAUGCAGUGUUUUUGUGUAGGUCCAGGUAAAUGCUGUGGUCUAGUUUGUAUAUGCAGUGUUUUUGUGUAGGUCCAGGUAAAUGCUGUGGUCUAGUUUGUAUAUGCAGUGUUUUCAUGUAGGUCCAGGUAAAUGCUGUGGUCUAGUUUGUAUAUGCAGUGUUUGUGUAAGUCCAGGUAAAUGCUGUCUGUGUGUUUAUGAUGUCAUAGUGAAUGUUAGAAACUAGGACGUGACUUGAUGGUGUUUUGUUAGGUCUAUGUCACAGUGUAGUUUGUAUUUUACAUGUAUCAUGACAAAUGUUAGUUUGUGGUUUGUGUACGUUAACUGGGUGUGUG